rnacentral:lncRNA from 1 species
GGAGUGAUACCAGUUCUGUUAAAACUUCUAUUGAUGGGCUGAACAUUACUCACAGUGCACACGAUGAGAAAUAGUUAAUGAGCACUAGGAUUCCAAAGGUGCAACAACUUGUGAAUGAUCUCUUUGAAGGAAAGGAACCAAACAAGGGUGUUAACCCUGUUGAAGCAGUUGACGUAGCUAAUGGUCAUCUAGUAUGUGGACAAAUGAUCUCUUUGAAGGAAAGGAACCAAACAAGGGUGUUAACCCUGUUGAAGCAGUUGACGUAGCUAAUGGUCAUCUAGUAUGUGGACAUGGAAAUAUAUCCUCCUGCAAUAACAAUGCGCCAACUCCUCAUCAGGAGGCUCGUGCUAUGUCUGCUAUUCUUCUCCGGAAGCAACUCACUCGCGAUGAUUCAUUUCUUUGGCCGCAUCUUUCGCCUCAAACUCAUUCUUCUCUCAAAUCGCUUCUUCUUUCUUCAAUUCAAACCGAAAACUCCAAAUCGAUUUCUAAGAAGCUUUGUGACACAAUCUCUGAACUUGCUUCUGUACAUCGGUGAUUCUCCCACACCGCAUAUCAAAGACCUUCAUGACAUCUUUCUUCAGUGUCUUAC